rnacentral:rRNA from 3 species
UUAAAUUGAAGAGUUUGAUCAUGGCUCAGAUUGAACGCUGGCGGCAGGCCUAACACAUGCAAGUCGAACGGUAACAGGAAGAAGCUUGCUUCUUUGCUGACGAGUGGCGGACGG